rnacentral:rRNA from 1 species
AAGCCACACUAAACGUUGAGUUGGCCGAUGUGCUGACAAACGAACAGGCGUUUUAAGGAUACGUUCGUUGGGUAGGGGAGCGUUCUGUAAGCCGUUGAAGGUGGUCUGUGAGGGUUGCUGGAGGUAUCAGAAGUGCGAAUGCUGACAUAAGUAACGAUAAUGCGGGUGAAAAACCCGCACGCCGGAAGACCAAGGGUUCCUGUCCAACGUUAAUCGGGGCAGGGUGAGUCGACCCCUAAGGCGAGGCUGAAAAGCGUAGUCGAUGGGAAACAGGUUAAUAUUCCUGUACUUGGUGUUACUGCGAAGGGGGGACGGAGAAGGCUAGGCUAGCCGGGCGACGGUUGUCCCGGUUUAAGCAUGUAGGCGGAGUGACCAGGUAAAUCCGGUUGCUUAUCAACGCUGAGGUGUGAUGACGAUGCACUACGGUGCAGAAGUAGUUGAUGCCAUGCUUCCAGGAAAAGCCUCUAAGCAUCAGGUAACAUGAAAUCGUACCCCAAACCGACACAGGUGGUCAGGUAGAGAAUACUCAGGCGCUUGAGAGAACUCGGGUGAAGGAACUAGGCAAAAUGGUGCCGUAACUUCGGGAGAAGGCACGCUGGCAUUAGGUAAAGGGACUUGCUCCCGGCGCCGAAGCCAGUCGCAGAUACCAGCUGGCUGCAACUGUUUAAUAAAAACACAGCACUGUGCAAACACGAAAGUGGACGUAUACGGUGUGACGCCUGCCCGGUGCUGGAAGGUUAAUUGAUGGGGUCAGCCGCAAGGCGAAGCUCUUGAUCGAAGCCCCAGUAAACGGCGGCCGUAACUAUAACGGUCCUAAGGUAGCGAAAUUCCUUGUCGGGUAAGUUCCGACCUGCACGAAUGGCGUAAUGAUGGCCAGGCUGUCUCCACCCGAGACUCAGUGAAAUUGAACUCGCUGUGAAGAUGCAGUGUACCCGCGGCAAGACGGAAAGACCCCGUGAACCUUUACUAUAGCUUGACACUGAACAUUGAGCCUUGAUGUGUAGGAUAGGUGGGAGGCAUAGAAGUGUGGACGCCAGUCUGCAUGGAGCCAACCUUGAAAUACCACCCUUUAAUGUUUGAUGUUCUAACUCGGCCCCGUAAUCCGGGGUGAGGACAGUGUCUGGUGGGUAGUUUGACUGGGGCGGUCUCCUCCCAAAGAGUAACGGAGGAGCACGAAGGUUAGCUAAUCACGGUCGGACAUCGUGAGGUUAGUGCAAAGGCAUAAGCUAGCUUGACUGCGAGAGUGACGGCUCGAGCAGGUACGAAAGUAGGUCUUAGUGAUCCGGUGGUUCUGAAUGGAAGGGCCAUCGCUCAACGGAUAAAAGGUACUCCGGGGAUAACAGGCUGAUACCGCCCAAGAGUUCAUAUCGACGGCGGUGUUUGGCACCUCGAUGUCGGCUCAUCACAUCCUGGGGCUGAAGUAGGUCCCAAGGGUAUGGCUGUUCGCCAUUUAAAGUGGUACGCGAGCUGGGUUUAGAACGUCGUGAGACAGUUCGGUCCCUAUCUGCCGUGGGCGUUGGAAGAUUGAGAGGGGCUGCUCCUAGUACGAGAGGACCGGAGUGGACGAAUCACUGGUGUUCGGGUUGUCAUGCCAAUGGCAUUGCCCGGUAGCUAAAUUCGGAAGAGAUAACCGCUGAAAGCAUCUAAGCGGGAAACUUGCCUCGAGAUGAGUCUUCCCUGGGGCUUUAAGCCCCCUGAAGGAACGUUAAAGACGAUGACGUUGAUAGGCUGGGUGUGUAAGUGCAGCGAUGCAUUGAGCUAACCAGUACUAAUGAACCGUGAGGCUUAACCUU